CUGGUAAAAGUGUGGCGUGACCAGUGUUUAAGACUGAAUGUCGUCCUCUGAUUCCACGUGUUGCGGUUUCCCUUUGUCUGCUGCUCUUUGUCCUCAUUGCCCACACAGAAAACGUGGAAGGAUUUGUGAUGACGUACCUUCUGUUCUCAGACUCUUACCAUAUUUCUCUGCACUGUCUUCAUUUUAUAUUACAUGUAAGUUUUGGACAGGUUGCAAGUUUUCAACAAGUCUUCAUUCAAGCAUAUGAGGAACAUGAGUAUUCAAAAUCCUAUAUUACAGAAGCUGAUUCUUACGUGCUUAUUUUACUAAAUCGUUCAUGUCAUGUUAUCAAGGUCCGAUAACAUUUUGAGAGAUAAACAACCGAACGGCGUAAGCAACUGUCUUUAGGCAAGGUUGUUGGAGUCCUCCAUUUGGGGCCUUUUGACUGAAUUAUUAAUAGGUCCUGAAUAUUUAAAGCUAAUGUUGCCCUGGAAAAGGUGUGCAACAAACACAGUCAACAAUGUUUUGGAGUAAACAUGCAAUAUUUUUGCAGUCACCCUCCUUCCACCUCUCAUGUGCAGAGACAGGAAGGCACAUGACUUUCCACUCUCGCUCAUGGUCAUGUUGCGGUAGCUGCUGCCUGUUUUGGGGGGCUUUAGGCAAAUCAGCCAACUGUGCGUGUCUUCGAUCCAGAUCUGACUGUAUGCCUUUUUUCGGUUCACUUUGUGCCAGUGGGUGUGUGUCUUCUGUUGUCCAUAUGCCGUGCGCUCAACAGUUUGCUUAACAGGAUUCACUGACAGUCCCAAGAGUCCAAAGAGCGGUUUGAAGUGACGAGGUUGCCUGAGCAUCAUGGGUUUGGAGAACACCGGAGGAAAAAGGAAGAAGCCGGAAGAAAAGCCACAUGAUCUUGGAGAGAUCUGAGAUCUGCCCAGACAGAGCAGUGCCCAGACUGACACCUGCAAGCCUCCAGAUGAACCUUUUUGUUGCCCAUGUGUUAGUUUUGUUUACUGCUUAUAAUGAUGGAUGGUAAACUCAGUGUCCAGCAAACUGGCCAUGUGCAAGCCUGGAAUCUGGCCC
rnacentral:lncRNA from 1 species